UCGAAAGCCUGCCAAGCAAAAAGACUCGUGAAUUUGUCUCUGCAUACUAUUGGGAGUGAUGCGAUGGUCGCGGCCUUGUUGCCAAGCCUUCCGUUCUCCCCUUGCGAGUAGAUGUGCACGGACCCUUCGGGUGACGUGCUCAUUUACUCGUCAAACAACGAACCCCGGCGCAAGACGCGCCAAGGAAAAUUGAACAAGAGAAUAUGCAAUCUUUCGUACAACUAAACGACUCUCGGCAACGGAUAUCUCGGCUCUUGCAUCGAUGAAGAACGUAGCGAAAUGCGAUACUUGGUGUGAAUUGCAGAAUCCCGUGAACCAUCGAGUCUUUGAACGCAAGUUGCGCCUGAAGCCAUUAGGCUGAAGGCACGUCUGCCUGGGCGUCGCGCAUUGCGUCACCCGCUCCCCCGUGCCUAAGCGUGCAUGUCGGGGCGUGGGAGGAUAUUGGCCCCCCGUUCGCGUCUCGUGGUCGGCCGGCCUAAAAGAAGAGUCCCCAACGACGGACAUCACGACAAGUGGUGGUUGCUAAAUCGUCGCGUCAUGUUGUGGAUGCCAUUGUUUGUUGCGGGUUGGCUCGUUGACCCUGAAGGUGCUAGUACAUGAGGCAC
rnacentral:rRNA from 1 species